rnacentral:rRNA from 1 species
AACAUGUGACAAUGGACGAAACGCUGAUGCAGCGACGCCGCGUGAAUGACGAACGACUACGGGUCGAAAAGUUCAGUCCUUGGGGACGAUAAUGAACGUACCCAAGGAGGAAGCCCCGGUCAACUACGUGCCUCCAGCCGCGGUAAUACGUAGGGGGCGAGCGUUGUCCGGAAUUAUUGGGCGUAAAGGGUUCGAAGGCGGUCUUUUAAGUCAGGUGUUAAAUGCAUAGGCUGAAGCUAUGAGUGCAUUUGAAACUGGAAGACUUGAGUUAAGGAGAGGAGGGCGGAAUUCCUAGUGUAGCGGUGAAAUGCGUAGAUAUUAGGAAGAACACCAGUAGCGAAGGCGGCUCUCUGGCCUUACCCUGACGCUGAGGCGCGAAAGCGUGGGUAGCGAACA